UACGUAGGGUCCGAGCGUUGUCCGGAGUUACUGGGCGUAAAGCGCGCGCAGGCGGCUUUAUAAGUCUGGCGUGAAAGCCCCCCGGCUCAACCGGGGAGGGGUCGUCGGAGACUGUAGAGCUUGAGGGCGGUAGGGGCUGGUGGAAUUCCCGGUGUAGUGGUGAAAUGCGUAGAGAUCGGGAGGAACACCUGUGGCGAAGGCGGCCAGCUGGGCCGACCCUGACGCUGAGGCGCGAAGGCGUGGGGAGCGAACGGGG
rnacentral:rRNA from 1 species